AUUACCAACAAAUUCAUGUGUUAAUUCGAGUGAUUUCGUCUCUAACUUGUCGGAGGAAACGUGAAAGGGACGUGGCCGUCGUGCAGCCUACCGUUUACUAUUUUGUUCAAAAUCAUUUUAUUCUACUGAAUGUGCCAUCGAAAGGAUACAGGAGUCAUAAUUAUCAACUGUUUGUAUUGGACUUGCUAGAUCACCAACAGCCCAGCAUAGACCAAUCUUUCAUUUCAUCUUCUCGAGAGAAGAUUAGAUAACUGGUGGUUUCAU